CGUCAGCUCCUGCUCGAUUUUCUUCUCCAGGAACUCCUGUUUCUUGCUUAACAUCUCUUCCGUGUCCCGCAGCCGCUGGAUGGCCUCCUGGGGGGUCGGGCCGCCCUUGCCGGCCUUACCCCCUCCAGCCCCGAACAGCUUCCCGAACACCGACAUGGUUGCUGCUCGCCGCGCCGGCCUUCGCCGCCCGCUCCGGCUCGGCUCGGCUCGGCUCGGCUCGGGUCGGCUCCGGCGCCCGCUCCCAGUCCCGCCGCUCCCUGCCGCCGCAGGCCUCUCCUCCGCCUCCGCCUCCGCCCCGCAGCUGGGCCCGGCCGCGCCACCUCCCACAGGCCCCCACGCCCGGCCCGGCAGGCGUCAGGGCAACGCGCCACUGACUACAACUCCCAGUGGGCAACGCGCCGGCCGCGCCUCAAAUCUAAUAGGGGGAAGCGUGCUGCAUGCCGGGAAGCUAUAGUCUUCCGGCUUCAGGCGCUCCCCGGCGCGUCUUUUGCUGUAGCUGGGGUCAAAGGGCGUGUGGCAUUCUGGGAAAUGUAGUCUCCUUGGCCUGCGCUCUGUAGGAGUGGCAGAACAGUAAGAGAAAUGACAGUAAGUGUGCAACACUGCUCAAAAAUUUAUUGCUAGUAUGGGAUACUGCCAUGCUUGAACUUCACAUGUAUAUUCAUGUGAAGUUGUCUUAAAAGCGUGAAGGCAACAGUUGUUUCCAAUUUCAACCUGUCAAUUCUGUGGUCACAGAAGCAAAGCAGUAUCUUCUCCAGUUAAGUACGGUAGUGUCCCCCUUAUCUGAGAUUUUACUUUGAGUAGUUUCACUUGGCCAGCUAAGGUCUGACAGUAUUAAAUAGAAAAUUCCAGAAAUAAACAGUUCAUAAGUUUUUAAUUUCCAUUGGCCUAAUGAAAUCUCGUGCUAUCCUGUUCCAUCCUACCUGCAAUGUGAAUCAUCCCUUUGUCCAACAUACCUCUACCAUCUGUUAGUUACUUACCAGCUUAGGAGUUAUCAGAUGGACUGCCACGGUGUUGCAGUGCUUUGGUUCGAGUAACCCUCAUUUUACUAUAUAAUGGCCCCAAAGUGCAAGAGUAGUAAUGCUGGCAGUUUGGAUAUGCCAAAAUGAAGCUGUAAAGUGCUUCCUUUAAAUGUAAAUGUGGAAGUUCUGAGCUUAAGAAAAAAAAUCGUAUGCUGAGCUUACUGAGGUCUGCAGUAAGAACGAAUCUUCUAGCCCUAGAAUUGUGAAAGAGGAAAAAGAAAUUCAUGCUGGUUUUGCUGUCGUACCUCAAACUGCAAAAGUUACAGCCACAGUGUGUGAUAAGUGCUUAGUUAAGAUAGAAAAGGCAUUAAGUUGUAUCCUUACUUACAGGGGAAAAAAAGAAAAUAAAUUUUUUUACAAAAGAAAAGAAAAAGCAUUAAGCUUAUACGUGGAAGACACGAACAAAAAAUGUGUUCCAACUGACAGCAACCUGUUACCCCCCAGAAAGCAUUGAGCCUGUAUAAAGGCUUCAGCAAGGAAUCUCCUAAAACCAGUGGCACCAAGCCACUUACUGAAAGUAAUGGAUGGUUGCACUGACUUAGGAAUAGGUUUAGACUGCAAAAUAUAAAAAUUACUGGAUGGGCUGGGCACAGUGGCUCACACCUGUAAUCUCAGCACUCUGGC
rnacentral:lncRNA from 1 species